UCCCUGGUGGCUCAGAGGGUAAAGCGUCUGCCUGCAAUGCAGGAGACACAGGUUCGAUCCCUGGGUUGGGAA
rnacentral:tRNA from 1 species